GGGCCCGUAGCUCAGCCAGGUGAGAGCGCCAGGCUCAUAACCUGGUGGUCGUGGGUUCGAGUCCCACCGGGCCCA
rnacentral:tRNA from 1 species